rnacentral:rRNA from 1 species
GCCUAACACAUGCAAGUCGAACGAGGGUAGCAAUACCUUAGUGGCGGACGGGUGAGGAAUACGUAGGAAUUUGCCCUUAAGUGGGGGAUAGCCCGGGGAAACCCGGAUUAAUACCGCAUGAUCUCGAAAGAGCAAAGUGGGGGAUCGCAAGACCUCACGCUUUUGGAGAAGCCUACGUCGGAUUAGCUAGUUGGUGAGGUAAUGGCUCACCAAGGCGACGAUCCGUAACUGGUCUGAGAGGAUGAUCAGUCACACCGGAACUGAGACACGGUCCGGACUCCUACGGGAGGCAGCAGUGGGGAAUAUUGGACAAUGGGCGAAAGCCUGAUCCAGCAAUGCCGCGUGUGUGAAGAAGGCCUUCGGGUUGUAAAGCACUUUAAGUUGGGAAGAAAAAACUCGCUCUAACACAGUGAGUCUUGACGGUACCGACAGAAUAAGCACCGGCUAACUCUGUGCCAGCAGCCGCGGUAAUACAGAGGGUGCAAGCGUUAAUCGGAUUUACUGGGCGUAAAGCGUGCGUAGGCGGUUUGCUAAGUCGGUUGUGAAAGCCCUGGGCUUAACCUGGGAAUUGCAGUCGAUACUGGCAGGCUAGAGAACGGUAGAGGGAGGCGGAACUCCAGGUGUAGCGGUGAAAUGCGUAGAUAUCUGGAAGAACACCGAUGGCGAAGGCAACCUCCUGGGCCUGUUCUGACGCUGGGGCACGAAAGCGUGGGUAGCAAACAGGAUUAGAUACCCUGGUAGUCCACGCCGUAAACGAUGGGUGCUAGAUGUGGGAGGUGUCGACUCCUUCCGUGCCGAAGCUAACGCAUUAAG